rnacentral:other from 1 species
CGGUUGCUGCGCGGCCCGUGAGGUUACUGCAUCUCUCCGGCCAACUUUGAUCUCGAAGGGAGCUGUCCCUGUCGGACCCUUGGGUUCGUUAUAUGGCGCCCACCUGCGCAAGCAGGCCAGAGGAUCAUCCAACCGACGACCGAUGCGGCGCCGUU